UGAAGGAAAAAAGAAUGAAGAAUGGUUUGAAGAGAACAGAGGAGGGGUGAGACCCGGUCGCUAGGGUAUCUAAAAAAAAGGGAAGAAGAAGAAGGUUGGUAUUUUUGAAGCCGAACUUAAGAACCUCAACUAUGGAAAACAGCAAAGCUUGGUUGAGCAGAAAUUGGAGCAAAGGAACGACUGAGUUGAUUUAAUGUGUUUUAGAACGGGUUGAGAAGUUGGCGUAACUAGGUCGCAGGAGAUGCAGGGGAAUGCCGGGGCGAUUAGGGCUAAAUCCGGAUUCUGAAUCCUGGUCCAAAUCCUGGACUUGGGAGUGAUCUUUUCGAUUUGCCUGGAAAGAAAUUGUUGUUACAAGUUUGAUUUUGAGAAGUUUACUAAGUUUUAUGAAAGGUACAACGUUGCUCCAGUUUUACUCAAGUUUUAUGGAAUUUAAAUGAGAAUGUUUAUUACUUCAGUUUAUGAAGUUUGU